rnacentral:rRNA from 1 species
CGGGGGGGCGAAGCGUUGUUCGGAAUUACUGGGCGUAAAGGGCGCGUAGGCGGUUCGCUAAGUUGGAUGUGAAAACUACUGGGCUCAACCCAGAGCCUGCAUCCAAAACUAGGCGGGCUAGAGUUCUGGAGGGGGUAGCGGAAUUCCUGGUGUAGCGGUGAAAUGCGUAGAUAUCAGGAGGAACACCGGUGGCGAAGGCGGCUACCUGGACAGAAACUGACGCUGAGGCGCGAAAGCUAGGGGAGCAAACAGGAUUAGAUACCCUGGUAGUCCUAGCCCUAAACGAUGGAUACUUGGUGUGACUGGGAUUGAAUCCAGUCGUGCCGAAGCUAACGCAUUAAGUAUCCCGCCUGGGGAGUACGGUCGCAAGGCUG